rnacentral:misc_RNA from 1 species
AAGUCGUAACAAGGUUUCCGUAGGUGAACCUGCGGAAGGAUCAUCAUUUACAGUGUUUUCCCGCCCUUAUACUUGUUAGCAGGAUAUAGGGGUGAAAAAGUAGAAUUGUUUUCCCAGACGACUAUUUUUAGAUUUGGAAAUUAAAAUUGAAGUUAUUUUUCUAGGGAGAGAGAUGAUGGAGAUCAUUACUUUUGAGUAAAUUUUAUUUUCGAGUAAUUUUUAUUUAGAAGGGAUGUUUUGGGAGCUCACUCAAUUUGAAUUUGAAUUUAAAAAGUUUAAGAUUUUAAAUUUAAGUUGGGGCAAGAUUGAAUUAAUAUUUGAAUUGUAAAGUUUAAAUGUUGAAUUGACUUGGGUCAGUGUGUUUGUGGACAAAUUGCAAAUAGAAAUAUUUGUAAAUUUAGAGAUAAGCCAGUUUGAUUGAGAACAAACAGUUGCCUAUUUUUCUAAUAGGCUUUUUUGACAAAAAAAUAAAAUGAAAAACUUUUAACCAUGGAUCUCUAGGCUCUU